UUGGAGGGCAAGUCUGGUGCCAGCAGCCGCGGUAAUUCCAGCUCCAAUAGCGUAUAUUAAAGUUGUUGCAGUUAAAAAGCUCGUAGUUGAAUUUCGGGGUUAGUAGGUUGGUCAUGCCUCUGGUAUGUACUGGUCUCACUGAUUCCUCCUUCCUUAUGAACCGUAAUGCCAUUAAUUUGGUGUUGCGGGGAAUUUGGACUGUUACUUUGAAAAAAUUAGAGUGUUUAAAGCAGGCUAACGCUUGAAUACAUUAGCAUGGAAUAAUGAAAUAGGACG
rnacentral:rRNA from 1 species